rnacentral:rRNA from 1 species
AGUGAACGCUGGCGGUAGGCCUAACACAUGCAAGUCGAACGGCAGCACAUUAAGAGCUUGCUCUUACGGGUGGCGAGUGGCGGACGGGUGAGGAAUACAUCGGAAUCUACUUUUUCGCGGGGGAUAACGUAGGGAAACUUACGCUAAUACCGCAUACGACCUACGGGUGAAAGCAGGGGACCUUCGGACCUUUCGCGAUUGAACGAGCCGAUGUCGGAUUAGCUAGUUGGCGGGGUAAAGGCCCACCAAGGCGACGAUCCGUAGCUGGUCUGAGAGGAUGAUCAGCCACACUGGAACUGAGACACGGUCCAGACUCCUACGGGAGGCAGCAGUGGGGAAUAUUGGACAAUGGGCGCAAGCCUGAUCCAGCCAUACCGCGUGAGUGAAGAAGGCCUUCGGGUUGUAAAGCCCUUUUGUUGGGAAAGAAGAGCAGCAGGUUAAUACCCCGCUGUUCUGACGGUACCCAAAGAAUAAGCACCGGCUAACUUCGUG